GGGGGGGGGGCCGCGGGGCCGCAGACACUGAGGCAAAGCGUUCAGAGAAGUGGCUCCGCGGCUUGUCUCCAGCGGUGAACACGGACGUCACCGGUCAGUUGAGCACUUUCGUCGCCUGCAAAUAACUUUGGCCAGGUGGUGAGUGUAUGGACUGAGGACUAAGAAGAACCUACUUCUGCCCAUGAUUUGGAAAUAAAAAGAUGUCUUGGAUUUGCUUCAAAAUAAUCCAGUGAUGGAAGAGGAGAGAGCAGUGGUGUAGAUAAAACAAAGUUAGGUUUGCGUUGAUAAUUAUUGAAGUCACAUGGUGGAUAUGUGGAGUUUAUCCUAUUCUUUUCUUUUUUUG